rnacentral:tRNA from 1 species
UCCCUGGUGGUCCAGUGGUUAAGACUCAGCAUUUUCUCUGCUGUGGUUCUGGGUUUGAUUCCUGAUCCGGGAA